GCCUUCGUAGUGCAGUGGUCAGCACGCUGGGAUCGUAUUCCAGAGGUCCGUGGUUCGAUUCCCUGCGAAGGCG